AUUGAACGCUGGCGGCAUGCCUUACACAUGCAAGUCGAACGGCAGCACGGGAGCAAUCCUGGUGGCGAGUGGCGAACGGGUGAGUGAUAUAUCGGAACGUGCCCGGUCGUGGGGAUAACGUAGCGAAAGCUACGCUAAUACCGCAUACGAUCUACGGAUGAAAGCGGGGGAUCGCAAGACCUCGCGCGAUUGGAGCGGCCGAUAUCAGAUUAGGUAGUUGGUGAGGUAAAGGCUCACCAAGCCGACGAUCUGUAGCUGGUCUGAGAGGACGACCAGCCACACUGGGACUGAGACACGGCCCAGACUCCUACGGGAGGCAGCAGUGGGGAAUUUUGGACAAUGGGCGCAAGCCUGAUCCAGCAAUGCCGCGUGCAGGAUGAAGGCCUU
rnacentral:rRNA from 1 species